rnacentral:lncRNA from 1 species
AGUACUUUAAGAAAGUUGUUUUAGACAACAUUGCUCCAAAAUCCAAAUCGUAUUUUAAAGUUAAUACAAUUCAAUAAUCCUCAAGACUCUUUCUAGAUAACAUAAAAGAUGGUAUCUCUAUUUUAUUCUCGAUGAAACUGAACUAAUAAUUCAAAAGGGGUUUUGAGAAAAGCGUAUGAUGCUCUUUAUGUCAAGCCUGAGGGGAUGUUUCUAGUGAAUGAUGAAGUCGACGAUAUCAUAAUACUGUAUCUUUCGAAUCAUUAAGCACGUAAAAAAUAACCAUCAGAAUAAGAAAAGCUAGUUGCGAGUUCCCAUAACUCCAUGGGACAACAUGAUAAGGCCUCCUCCUAGUUUAAAUUUCAUGUAUUGUAUGAAAAUUUCAAAAAUUAGAAUUUUAGAAUUGCAGUUCCCAGAGCAACCAUAAAAUCAAGAGUCUAGCUAUGGUACCACAACAGCUGGAUCCAGCCAUUGGAUUCAGCUAUGGUGACCACUGUGGGCUGGAUUCAUAAGUGGUAUGGUACUACUGUGAUACCAUAAUUUUGUCCUAAAAUCAAUAAGUAGCCACUUUAGUUUGAGGGGGUCUAACAAACAUGGGCUAAAAAUAUGGGGAUGUAAUUGCCCAUGUAUUACUAUUUUUCUUGUGGAAUUUGAAGACUCAAUAAUUCUCAAAGUCUUUGCAUCUCCAUGUUAUGCACAAUGAAACUGAAACGAUCAUUCAAAUGAGUUUUUUUAUGAAAGCGAAUGACGCUCCCCGACUCAUUCCAUGAGGGCUGAUGAAGACGAUGGUAACAAAUUAUGACUUGAAUCAUUAAUCAUACAAAUUAACCAUCAGAAGAAGCAAAUGCGCUAGAUUGGUAGUUCCCAUAACUCCGUAAGGCAAACAUUAACAUCUCGCAGGGAAGGACAAGCAACAUGAUAUGGUCUCCUCCUAAUUUAACUAUUCGUGUGUUGUUUUGAAGUAAAUGAAUAUCUUCAAAAUUAGAAUUGCAAUUUCCAAAGCCCUAUAAAUCAGUAAGUUGCCAGCCCACUUUGGUCCGAGAGUCCACAAAUACGGGCUAUUGGGCAUGUUAAUGGGCCAUCUCUGACUACUUCUCUCCCUAGACUCUUUUACUUGUGGGGGUUUAUCAAACUCUUUGCUCUUUGGACAUCUUCAGGGACGAAAUAAAGAUAUAAAGUUUUAAUUUAUUUUCAUUAAAAAUUUGAUGGAUUCACUUCACAACAAUGCUUCGCUAAUCAGCAAAACCCUCUAAUGGUUGGUGUACGGCUCUCUUCUCUUCAAAGAAUUGUUGUGGUAUUUACUUCGUCCAAAUAUGAAUAAAACAAUAAUCACUCGUUUCUUAGUCUUAAAAGAUUCGUAUAUUCAAGAAAUAUUAAAAUUCAUAAAUAGAAUUUACUUGAAAUUUUCAAAUACGUUGUAAACUUUCCUAAUUUUGUUAGAUUUGGGUUGUAAAACAUUCACAAAAUAUGACCUAGCUGAUAUUAUAUUUCUAUAGUCACGGCUUAAAUAAAUUUAAUUAAAUUAUUCGUAUUAUUUUUUUUUUCAUGUUUGUUUUGUCUAAUACUGAAAAUAAAUUAUUUCUAUAU